rnacentral:tRNA from 1 species
GCCCGGGUGGCGGAAUUGGUAGACGCAAGGGACUUAAAAUCCCUCGAACAUUUGUUCGUGCCGGUUCAAGUCCGGCCCCGGGCA